rnacentral:rRNA from 1 species
GACGAACGCUGGCGGCGUGCUUAACACAUGCAAGUCGAACGGAAAGGCCAUGCUUUUGUGGGGUGCUCGAGUGGCGAACGGGUGGGUAACCCGUGAGUAACCUGCCCUUGACUUUGGGUUAACUUCUGGUAACUGGGGCUAAUACCGGAUACGAGCUCCUGCUGCAUGGUGGGGGUUGGAAAGUUUCGGCGGUUGUGUAUGGACUCGCGGCUAAUUAGCUGGUUGGUGGGGUAGUCGCUUACCAAGGCAUUGACGGGUAGCCUGCCUGAGCGGGUGACCGGCCACAUUGCGCCUGAGAUACGGCCCAGACUCCUACGGGGGGCAUCAGUGGGGAAUAUUGCACAAUGGGCGGAAGCCUGAUGCAGCAACGCCGCGUGCGGGAUGACGGCCUUCGGUUUGUAAACCGCAUUCGCCUGUGACGAAGCGUGAGUGACGGUAAUGGGUAAAGAAGCACCGGCUAACUACGUG